rnacentral:misc_RNA from 1 species
GAUGAAGAACGUAGCGAAAUGCGAUAAGUAAUGUGAAUUGCAGAAUUCAGUGAAUCAUCGAAUCUUUGAACGCACAUUGCGCCCCCCAGCAUUCUGGCGGGCAUGCCUGUUCGAGCGUCAUUUCAACCAUCAAGCCCUGCUUGUGUUGGGGUCCUGCGGCUGCCCGCAGGCCCUGAAAACCAGUGGCGGGCUCGCUAGUCACACCGAGCGCAGUAGCACAUCUCGCUCAGGGCGUGCGGCGGGCUCCAGCCGUUAAAGCACCCACCUUUCGCAAGGUUGACCUCGGAUCAGGUAGGAAUACCCGCUGAACUUAAGCAUAUCAAUAAGCGGAGGA